CAGUUCUCUCCGUGAAUUAUAUUGAUUGAAUUACUUCGACCUAGAAUGGGAAAACUCUUAUAAAUGAAAAUAUAAUAUAGAAAUUAAGAGUAAUCUCAGAAAAAUGUGUAAAACAUGAAAUAAAGUUAUAUAUUUUUAAUAUUCUCGAAUCCCAAAGUGUAUUAGAUUGUUCCUAGAAUACGUAGCAUCGAAGUGAAAAAAACCAUUUUACAAGGCACUAGCAAGUGAGAAAAAUCGCAUCACCACUACAAAUCAAUGAAUCUGAAAAAAACCAAAUUGCUCGCUAACACAAAUCAAUCUUUGUAGACACUGUAGGAAGGGACCAGUGUCUGUUUCCAUUUGCCAAAAAUGUCGGAAAAAUCAGAUCACAUAACAUUAACCCUUAAUGAGUCGUCCUCAUCGACAUCUUCAGGUACCCAGUCCGGAAGUCGCAACAAAAGUCUCAGACGGUCAUGGAAUCAAUUGCCACGAUGUCAACGAAAUCUAAUCAUUUUAAUUAUUGCGGCCAUGUGCAUAAGUUUUGUAUUUCUACUGCCAUCUGAUUUAGUAACAAAGAAUGCUGUGAACUUGGACACGAAUGGAUUACCUUUUACCGGGCAGACUGCUGUUAGGCGAAAUAAUUUAGGAGAGGGUCACAAUGACGACAGUGUUAAUAAAGUGAUUUCUUCUCAAGGCGAUUCCGCUGAUUUAGCGCACAAUUUGGCGCAGAAUAUUUUACCAGCGCCAGCACCACAAAAACAAGAACCACAACCGCAAUCAGAUAUUGAAAAUGUUGUCAAUAUUCCACAAACCCAAAGAGAACAACAACAAGAACAUUUAAAUAUCAAACCAAUAGAAACAGCACAGCUUGCCAGUAUACUUAAUAAUGAGGUAAACAAUGCAAAUAAUUUAAAUCCCAGACAUUCAAAUAAUCCUGACGAGGACCGUACGGCAAUAGAGGCUUCCAUACAAGAUCCCUCAACUUUGCCAACUUUGAAUGGUGUAACUAUUGAAGAAUUUUUGGGUCGUAUUGAUUUGAAACAUUUGCCGCAAAAGCAACAUUUUCACGGUCCUAAUAAUGAACGCCAAGAAGCCGUCGUCAAUGCAUUCCGUCACUCAUGGGAGGGUUAUAAAAAAUAUGCAUGGGGUCACGACAACUUGAAACCUAUGUCGGAGUCAUCAUACGAUUGGUUUGGCUUGGGCUUAACGAUUAUCGAUUCAUUGGAUACCAUGUACAUUAUGGGCUUGGAAGAUGAAUUUGUGGAAGCUCGUAACUGGGUCAAUGAAUUUCUGAAUUUUGAUGUUAAUCGUGAUGUAAAUUUAUUCGAAGUAACAAUUCGCAUACUGGGAGGUUUGUUAUCUGCGUAUCACUUAAGUGCUGACAAAGUUUUCCUAAAAAAAUCGAUUGAGUUAGGUAAUCGUUUGUUACCUUGCUUCCUAUCACCGUCAGGCAUACCAUACUCGGAUGUGAAUUUGGCAGCGUUAUCAGCUCAUGCCCCUAAAUGGUCACCCGAUAGUUCUACUAGUGAAGUAACAACAAUCCAAUUGGAAUUUAGAGAUUUAAGUCGUCUUACAAAUGUCACUCUCUAUGAAAGUGUUGCACAUCGAGUUAAUGAAAAGGUACAUGCUUUGGAAAAGAAUAACGGGUUGGUGCCAAUAUUCAUCAAUGCCAAUACUGGAACGUUUAGGAAUUAUGCCACCAUAUCGUUAGGGGCUAGAGGUGAUUCUUACUAUGAGUACUUGAUAAAACAGUGGAUUCAAACUGGUCACAAAGGAAAUGAUUUCUUGGUUUCCGAUUAUAUACAAGCAAUUGAUGGAGUAUUCUCACAACUACUAAAACGAACUCCAAAAGAAAAUCACGUCUACAUUGGCGAAUUAAUUAAUGGGAAAGAGUUUAAACCAAAAAUGGAUCAUUUAACAUGUUAUUUACCUGGAACAUUGCUGUUGGGUCAUCAUUAUGGCAUGCCCGAUUCCCAUCUACUACUGGCGAAAGAUCUAUUGGAAACAUGCUAUCAAACAUAUAUGAAACAACCCACACAGUUGGCUCCAGAAAUUUCCUACUUCGCUUUGACCGAAAGUGAAGAACUUGAUAUAUAUGUUAAGCCAAAUGAUGCUCAUAAUCUUCUCAGACCAGAAUUUGUUGAAAGUUUGUAUUAUUUCUAUGCACUAACUGGAAAUCGUAGCUAUCAGGAUAUGGGUUGGACUAUAUUCCAAGCAUUUGAAAAAUAUGCUAAGGUAGCUCACGGUUAUUCAUCGAUUGGAAAUGUUAAGAAUAUAUUCAAUACACGUCUACGUGAUAUGAUGGAAAGUUUUUGGCUGGGCGAAACCUUAAAGUAUUUCUAUCUGCUAUUUAGUAAUAAUCCCAAAGAAAUAGAUUUAGAAAAAUGGGUGUUUAAUACGGAGGCUCAUCCUCUGCCCGUUCGAGAAAACUAAUUUAAUAAUAUGAUAACAAACAAUACACUAAAACUAAGUAAUAACAUGUAGGAAGUAUAUCAAGUCUGAAUAUUAUUGAAAUUGUAAAUAAUGUAUUUUUUUCAAUUAAUUUUUAUCAGUACGUAUCAUCUUUUAUUUUGUCUGAAGAUGUGGUGUACUAAAUAUGUGCUGUGCAUACAAAACUAAUGUAAUGAACCAACCAUGAUCCUCAUUACAGUGAAGUUGAAUGUGUGUUUUUAAGGAGCAUUGGUUGAACCGAAUUCAAAUGAACAAAUUUACAGGUCUCAACUUAUUUUCGGCAAAAAUGUUUUUGCUGACAAAUUACAACGAUAAAGAUGGACGUCAAAUUAAACUAGAGGAAAACAGCGUUUUUUCUAAAUUGACUUACGUCAAUCGAUAGGUGGAUCUUUAUCUUGUGAGAUGUGAAAAUUUUAUUCUACCUUUAAUGAGUCAUAUGGGCGAAAUUUUCUCAUUCAAUGUCGAAAAAAUCUCGAUCGAAACAAAAUUUUGUAUGGACAUUUUAUAUAGAUGAAAAAUUAUUAUUUUUAUAGAAACUGCUGGAUCUACGUCUAACAUUCGGACUUCAGUAAUUUCUUCAAAAAAAAACUUUUCAAUAAAGCGAAUGCAAAAAUGUCACCCCAUAAUGAACAAGAAAUUUCGCCCCUACCUAACAAUGUUCGACUGUACACAUCCGUGCUCUCUAUCAAGCAUUUUAGAUGAGGCAUAAACUUCUCUAUAUAUAUAUAUAUAUAUAUAUAUA